UGGGUGACUUGUGUUGUAGAAUUAUGUAGGU
rnacentral:piRNA from 1 species